AGAGUUUGAUCCUGGCUCAGGAUGAACGCUGGCGGCGUGCUUAACACAUGCAAGUCGAACGAAGCACUUCGGGAGCGGCUUCGGCCAAUCCUGAUUUGACUGAGUGGCGGACGGGUGAGUAACGCGUGAGGAACCUGCCUUGCAGUGGGGAAUAACAGCUGGAAACGGCUGCUAAUACCGCAUGAUGCAGAGAGACCGCAUGAUCUUUCUGCCAAAGAUUUAUCGCUGUGAGAUGGCCUCGCGUCUGAUUAGCUAGUUGGUGGGGUAACGGCCCACCAAGGCGACGAUCAGUAGCCGGACUGAGAGGUUGAACGGCCACAUUGGGACUGAGACACGGCCCAGACUCCUACGGGAGGCAGCAGUGGGGAAUAUUGGGCAAUGGGCGCAAGCCUGACCCAGCAACGCCGCGUGAAGGAAGAAGGCUUUCGGGUUGUAAACUCCUUUUAUCAGGGACGAUAAUGACGGUACCUGAUGAAUAAGCUCCGGCUAACUACGUGCCAGCAGCCGCGGUAAUACGUAGGGAGCAAGCGUUAUCCGGAUUUACUGGGUGUAAAGGGCGUGUAGGCGGGAUUACAAGUCAGAUGUGAAAACUAUGGGCUCAACCCAUAGCCUGCAUUUGAGACUGUAGUUCUUGAGUGCUGGAGAGGCAAAUGGAACUCCUAGUGUAGCGGUGAAAUGCGUAGAUAUUAGGAAGAACACCAGUGGCGAAGGCGAUUUGCUGGACAGUAACUGACGCUGAGGCGCGAAAGUGUGGGGAGCAAACAGGAUUAGAUACCCUGGUAGUCCACACCGUAAACGAU
rnacentral:rRNA from 1 species